ensembl:miRNA
UGAGCUGAGUUUACGGCGAGUUUUGUUGGUUUGCCGUCAGCUUCUCUCCGUGUUUGCUGUGCAAAUCCAUGCAAAGCUCUCUGCGGCUCAGGCGCACAG